rnacentral:rRNA from 1 species
AUAGGUUAACGAAGCGAACCGGGGGAACUGAAACAUCUAAGUACCCCGAGGAAAAGAAAUCAACCGAGAUUCCCCCAGUAGCGGCGAGCGAACGGGGAGCAGCCCAGAGUCUGAAUCAGCUUGUGUGUUAGUGGAACGGUCUGGAAAGUCCGACGGUACAGGGUGAUAGUCCCGUACACCAAAAUGCACAGGCUGUGAACUCGAAGAGUAGGGCGGGACACGUGGUAUCCUGUCUGAAUAUGGGGGGACCAUCCUCCAAGGCUAAAUACUCCUGACUGACCGAUAGUGAACCAGUACCGUGAGGGAAAGGCGAAAAGAACCCCGGCGAGGGGAGUGAAAAAGAACCUGAAACCGUGUACGUACAAGCAGUGGGAGCACCUUCGGGUGUGACUGCGUACCUUUUGUAUAAUGGGUCAGCGACUUAUAUUCUGUAGCAAGGUUAACCGUAUAGGGGAGCCGCAGGGAAACCGAGUCUUAACUGGGCGUUAAGUUGCAGGGUAUAGACCCGAAACCCGGUGAUCUAGCCAUGGGCAGGUUGAAGGUUGGGUAACACUAACUGGAGGACCGAACCGACUAAUGUUGAAAAAUUAGCGGAUGACUUGUGGCUGGGGGUGAAAGGCCAAUCAAACCGGGAGAUAGCUGGUUCUCCCCGAAAGCUAUUUAGGUAGCGCCUCGUGAAUUCAUCUUCGGGGGUAGAGCACUGUUUCGGCUAGGGGGUCAUCCCGACUUACCAACCCGAUGCAAACUACGAAUACCGAAGAAUGUUAUCACGGGAGACACACGGCGGGUGCUAACGUCCGUCGUGAAGAGGGAAACAACCCAGACCGCCAGCUAAGGUCCCAAAGUCAUGGUUAAGUGGGAAACGAUGUGGGAAGGCACAGACAGCCAGGAUGUUGGCUUAGAAGCAGCCAUCAUUUAAAGAAAGCGUAAUAGCUCACUGGUCGAGUCGGCCUGCGCGGAAGAUGUAACGGGGCUAAACCAUGCACCGAAGCUGCGGCAGCGACACUAUGUGUUGUUGGGUAGGGGAGCGUUCUGUAAGCCUGCGAAGGUGGCCUGUGAGGGUUGCUGGAGGUAUCAGAAGUGCGAAUGCUGACAUAAGUAACGAUAAAGCGGGUGAAAAGCCCGCUCGCCGGAAGACCAAGGGUUCCUGUCCAACGUUAAUCGGGGCAGGGUGAGUCGACCCCUAAGGCGAGGCCGAAAGGCGUAGUCGAUGGGAAACAGGUUAAUAUUCCUGUACUUGGUGUUACUGCGAAGGGGGGACGGAGAAGGCUAUGUUAGCCGGGCGACGGUUGUCCCGGUUUAAGCAUGUAGGCUGAUUGUCCAGGCAAAUCCGGAUAAUCAAGGCUGAGGUGUGAUGACGAGGCACUACGGUGCUGAAGUAACAAAUGCCCUGCUUCCAGGAAAAGCCUCUAAGCAUCAGGUAACAUCAAAUCGUACCCCAAACCGACACAGGUGGUCAGGUAGAGAAUACCAAGGCGCUUGAGAGAACUCGGGUGAAGGAACUAGGCAAAAUGGUGCCGUAACUUCGGGAGAAGGCACGCUGGUGUGUAGGUGAAGUCCCUGCGGAUGGAGCUGAGACCAGUCGAAGAUACCAGCUGGCUGCAACUGUUUAUUAAAAACACAGCACUGUGCAAACACGAAAGUGGACGUAUACGGUGUGACGCCUGCCCGGUGCCGGAAGGUUAAUUGAUGGGGUUAUCCGUAAGGAGAAGCUCUUGAUCGAAGCCCCGGUAAACGGCGGCCGUAACUAUAACGGUCCUAAGGUAGCGAAAUUCCUUGUCGGGUAAGUUCCGACCUGCACGAAUGGCGUAAUGAUGGCCAGGCUGUCUCCACCCGAGACUCAGUGAAAUUGAACUCGCUGUGAAGAUGCAGUGUACCCGCGGCAAGACGGAAAGACCCCGUGAACCUUUACUAUAGCUUGACACUGAACAUUGAGCCUUGAUGUGUAGGAUAGGUGGGAGGCUUUGAAGCGUGGACGCCAGUCUGCGUGGAGCCAACCUUGAAAUACCACCCUUUAAUGUUUGAUGUUCUAACGUUGGCCCCUGACCGGGGUUGCGGACAGUGUCUGGUGGGUAGUUUGACUGGGGCGGUCUCCUCCCAAAGCGUAACGGAGGAGCACGAAGGUUAGCUAAUCCUGGUCGGACAUCAGGAGGUUAGUGCAAUGGCAUAAGCUAGCUUGACUGCGAGCGUGACGGCGCGAGCAGGUGCGAAAGCAGGUCAUAGUGAUCCGGUGGUUCUGAAUGGAAGGGCCAUCGCUCAACGGAUAAAAGGUACUCCGGGGAUAACAGGCUGAUACCGCCCAAGAGUUCAUAUCGACGGCGGUGUUUGGCACCUCGAUGUCGGCUCAUCACAUCCUGGGGCUGAAGUAGGUCCCAAGGGUAUGGCUGUUCGCCAUUUAAAGUGGUACGCGAGCUGGGUUUAGAACGUCGUGAGACAGUUCGGUCCCUAUCUGCCGUGGGCGCUGGAGAAUUGAGGGGGGCUGCUCCUAGUACGAGAGGACCGGAGUGGACGCAUCACUGGUGUUCGGGUUGUCAUGCCAAUGGCACUGCCCGGUAGCUAAAUGCGGAAGAGAUAAGUGCUGAAAGCAUCUAAGCACGAAACUUGCCCCGAGAUGAGUUCUCCCUGAGACUUUAAGUCUCCUGAAGGAACGUUGAAGACGACGACGUUGAUAGGCCGGGUGUGUAAGCGCAGCGAUGCGUUGAGCUAACCGGUACUAAUGAACCGUGAGGCUUAACCUU